rnacentral:tRNA from 1 species
GUGAACUGUUAGCUGAAUGGUAAAGCAGUAAAUGAAGUUUACUUAUUGCAGGUUCAAAUCCUGCACAGCCCGCCA